GAUGAACGCUAGCUACAGGCUUAACACAUGCAAGUCGAGGGGCAGCAUGGUCUUAGCUUGCUAAGGCCGAUGGCGACCGGCGCACGGGUGAGUAACACGUAUCCAACCUGCCGUCUACUCUUGGACAGCCUUCUGAAAGGAAGAUUAAUACAAGAUGGCAUCAUGAGUCCGCAUGUUCACAUGAUUAAAGGUAUUCCGGUAGACGAUGGGGAUGCGUUCCAUUAGAUAGUAGGCGGGGUAACGGCCCACCUAGUCUUCGAUGGAUAGGGGUUCUGAGAGGAAGGUCCCCCACAUUGGAACUGAGACACGGUCCAAACUCCUACGGGAGGCAGCAGUGAGGAAUAUUGGUCAAUGGGCGCAGGCCUGAACCAGCCAAGUAGCGUGAAGGAUGACUGCCCUAUGGGUUGUAAACUUCUUUUAUAAAGGAAUAAAGUCGGGUAUGUAUACCCGUUUGCAUGGACUUUAUGAAUAAGGAUCGGCUAACUCCGG
rnacentral:rRNA from 1 species